GUGCUUGCUUUGGAAGCACAUACACUAAAAUGGGAAUGACACAGAGAAGAUCAUCAUGGAUCCUGAACAUUUGUGAAGAAUUCUAUAUUUUC
rnacentral:snRNA from 1 species